GCAGCCGCGGUAAUACGUAGGGGGCAAGCGUUAUCCGGAUUUACUGGGUGUAAAGGGAGCGUAGGCGGCGGUGCAAGUCAGCAGUGAAAACCCGGGGCCCAACUCCGGGCAUGCUGUUGAAACUGCAUUGCUUGAUUCCGGGAGGGGUAAGCGGAAUUCCUGGUGUAGCGGUGAAAUGCGUAGAUAUCAGGAGGAACACCGGUGGCGAAGGCGGCUUACUGGACCGGCAAUGACGCUGAGGCUCGAAAGCGUGGGGAGCAAACAGGAUUAGAUACCCC
rnacentral:rRNA from 1 species